UUUUUGCAAAACUGCAAAAGUAUGUUGAAGGCGAGCCUGUUUGUUCAGCCUGUCUUCAUGGCGCUCAGAGUCACACAGGCGAUGUCUCCUCGGCCCUGAUGCCUCGUCGAUGAUCUGGGGAUGCCUUGUUUCCAAAGUCCUCUGGGCCUUUGAAUGAUUCUAAAUUUAGCUGAUCUCAAAGUAAAUGCCAUGCAGUUAAAUGCUUCCCACUCUCUCCCAGUACAGUGAAAUAUUUUACUAGGCUGAUUUAGGAAAAAAUGUCCUGCUUCAGGGAGCCGCUUCUCUCUGAAACGCCUCUGCAGAUUGCGGGAAGUGCUUCGGCGUGUCUUGGUGCUGAGCUGUGGACGGGGACUGGAAAGCACACCUUCCAGCCAACAUUCAUAGGCUGCGGCCGCUUAGGUUAAGGUACCAUUUUAAAGGCCGUUCAGUCGGCCAGUAGAGGCACGGAAGCGUGGAGCCGCCGGACGUCCUGGCCAGAGUGUUUCCCUUAGGGCGAUUGUUCCCUUUCUGGAUCUGAAUCUCCUGGACUUGAGAAGCAUUUAUGAAAGCAGCCAACACCAUGGCCUGUGCCAAUCUGCGGAAUCAGUCACCGAAACGGCACUGUGGUGAAAGCUAGACACCUGGACUUGGUGUCCAGCACUGAAGCAGUACUGGGUCUCAGUGACCCCUGUCCCUGGAGGAACAGGCUGGACAAGAUGCCAGUCCAUCACUGGACUCUAAGGGAGAUUUUGAAAUGGCAGCUCGUAAACUGGACUUGGACGGGCUCGAGGAGCGGCGUGCGGAGCGUGGCCCAGAUACGCCUUUCAUAUUUGUGUUGGCGGGGAGGUCGACGUGAGCAGAUGGCUGUACAGAGAACUCUCGAGGAGGGGGGGGGGCAUGGCCGGGUCGCAGACCAGCUCGGCGGCGGCGCCAACCUGCACGUCCACGAUGCCCAUGGUUGCUGGUCAAAGGUCACACUGUGAUCAGUCAGUUGGGAUGACAGAGCAGUGUCAUAACUUACACGACAAGCCGUCAUCUUCUAUUAUGACGCUGAUUUUAUGUUUUCGUACACAUGUGACUCUCUUACUCCAUUCAGUGAACAUUAUUAUAUUAGUUUGAUUCUAGCUCAUGUGGAACCAUGAGUAAAAGUUUCUUAUGCAUGACAAGUUAACCUUUGACCCAACGCUUCUCUUGACUUUGAACUCUGGCCACACGAACGCCAUGGAUCCAUGGUCAAAAAUUACCACAUGAAGUGGACAAAGCCCAUGGUACUGAGGUUGUAGUUACCAAGGUGUACCCUAGAAGGAUUAGCUAAGGAAUUAGCGACUGUAGCAUCGGUUUGCAUUUCAAUAGUAACUCUGUGUCGCUCUGUAUUAGCCGAUUAGCAUGUGUGACCCUCAUGCAGACACGUAGUGCAAUUUGCUGGGAUUUAGGUUAAGAAUCAACCUGGACGAAGCGAACGUCUAGCAGAAUGCCCGUGCAGGCUAAUCCUUUUAAGGCCUUUCUCCUCUCUGAUCUCCCCCGGAGAAGUUAUGCAAGAUUGUGCAAAAGCUACCAGUAUGAAUUGGAGCCCUUACCCAGGCUAAAAAUGUCAUUCUCUAGUGCCUGGGACUCGCUGCUGGGCUUGAGUGGCAUUUCUCGCUGUUUGUGGUAAAAUUUUUCACAUUCGGAAUUAAUAGAAUCUUGCUUGCUGCAGAGUGGAGGGUGAAAGAGUGUCUGGAUGUAGAGGAAAGAGGGUGCCUCGCUCUCCGUCUGGCCUGUUGACCUACUUCACACGACCCGGCCAAGAGGGUACAGAUCUGAGGGGGGGUUGGUCAUGAGUGCCACAGUCACCAUCUGCUGUUGGACCACAUUCACCCUGAAUGGUUUAUACUUGUACAAGACAAAAGUGGGACCAUUGAUCAGAGGACAUUGGCACAGGAGAAGGCUGACGAGAUUGGGGGUGGUUAUUUGAACUUGAUUAGCGUCCCCCCCCCCCCAAAAGUGUUAAUUUCCUCUGUUCCUCCACCCCACACACUGGUUAUUAAUAUUUAACUACUGUUAUGUCUGCACAAAAUGUUAUUCCUGAUUUCUCUCUAGUCAACGCGAAUGUUGUUGCAAAACCACUGUUGAGAACUCUGGUAAGCUGCCUACAUGUGAGUUACACUAUCAGGACCCCUGAGAGGCUGGGGAGCAGAGCGCUGUUCGCCUUCACCAUUAUCGGUGGCCGAAAUGGGGCUUCUAUCCCAUCGUGGCAGGGGUCACAUGUGCUGCCAAAUACUGUCUGGUUGAACUCAAGGGCACUCAAGAAAAUAACUAAUAAGAAGCUGCGUUGUCGAUUGGACAGCACAUUGUAAAUCCCGCCCACCACGUCUCCUAUCUCAGUUACUACCUUUGUGCCAGUUUGGAUCAUGUUCAGUCUUUGGUUGGUGUUUGAAGCUUGUGAUCUCUCACUGUCUUUACCCUUAUCUGAACUACGCAGGAACAACAAGGAUGUGUUCAUAAAACUGCCCUCUUUUUGAAGCGCAAUGCUCUGAAAAGUUACCUUGU